GACGAACCGUGCGAACGUUGUUCGGAAUCACUGGGCUUAAAGGGCGCGUAGGCGGGCGCGAAAAGUCAGAGGUGAAAGCCCCCGGCUCAACCGGGGAAGUGCCUUUGAUACUUCGCGUCUCGAGGGGGAUAGGGGCGUGCGGAACUUCCGGUGGAGCGGUGAAAUGCGUAGAUAUCGGAAGGAACACCGGUGGCGAAAGCGGCGCGCUGGAUCCCUUCUGACGCUGAGGCGCGAAAGCCAGGGGAGCGAACGGG
rnacentral:rRNA from 1 species